GAUAGGUCGAAGAGUGGUGCAUGGCCGUUAACGACGAGUGGAGUGAUCUUUGGGUUAAGUCCGUAAAUUAGUGAGACCUCAGCCGUAAGGGACAGGUGCGCAAAGCACAGGAAGGAUGGGUCAAGGACAGGUCAGUGAUGCCCUUAGAUGGUCCGGGCUGCACGCGCACUACAGUGGUCGCCGAAAUUAGCUGAUAAUUUUAAAGGCGAUCGAGAGGGAAUGAGCUUUGUAAGAGGCUCAGGAACGAGGAAUUGCUAGUAAUCGCGGACUCAUUAAGACGCGAUGAAUACGUCCCUGUUCUUUGUACACACCGCCCGUCGUUAUCGAAGAUGAAGACAGGCGCGAACGAUCUACCAGAAAGUGAGCGCAGGUCUUUAGAUCUGAUACAAGUCGUAACAAGGUAGCUGUAGGUGAACCUGUAGCUGG
rnacentral:rRNA from 1 species